rnacentral:rRNA from 1 species
UGGCUCAGAACGAACGCUGGCGGCGUGCUUAACACAUGCAAGUCGAGCGAUGAAGCACCUUCGGGUGUGGAUUAGCGGCGAACGGGUGAGGAACACGUGAGGAAUCUGCCUUCCACUCUGGGAUAACUCCGGGAAACCGGGGCUAAUACCGGAUACUUUCAACUGGCGGCAUCGCCGGUUGAAGAAAGUUUUUCGGUGGAAGAUGACCUCGCGGCCUAUCAGCUUGUUGGUGAGGUAAUGGCUCACCAGGGCAACGACGGGUAGCCGGCCUGAGAGGGCGACCGGCCACA